UCCCAGACUCCUACGGGAGGCAGCAGUGGGGAAUAUUGCACAAUGGGGGAAACCCUGAUGCAGCGACGCCGCGUGGGUGACGAAGUAUUUCGGUAUGUAAAGCCCUAUCAGCAGGGAAGAAGAUGACAGUACCUGACUAAGAAGCCCCGGCUAACUACGUGCCAGCAGCCGCGGUAAUACGUAGGGGGCAAGCGUUAUCCGGAUUUACUGGGUGUAAAGGGCGUGUAGGCGGGAAAGCAAGUCAGAUGUGAAAACCAUGGGCUCAACCUGUGGCCUGCAUUUGAAACUGUUUUUCUUGAGUACUGGAGAGGCAGACGGAAUUCCUAGUGUAGCGGUGAAAUGCGUAGAUAUUAGGAGGAACACUAGUGGCGAAGGCGGUCUGCUGGACAGCAACUGACGCUGAGGCGCGAAAGCGUGGGGAGCAAACAGGAUUAGAUACCCCAGUAACA
rnacentral:rRNA from 1 species